UCUGCCUCCCAGUGUGGAGGUUACAGGUACACAUGACCAUGAUGCAUUUUUUUUCUUCACAUGGGUGCUGGGGACCCUGGUGUUUAGGCUUGUGCAUCAGGUACUUUACCAACAUGUAAUCUCUGUUCUAUGGCUGUGAAGAGACACUAUGACAAAGGCAACUCUUAUUUUUUUAAAAAAAGCAUUUCGUUGGGGACUUGCUUACAGUUUCAGAGACUUAGUCCAUUAUCAUCACGGCAGGGAGCAUGGUGGCAUAGUGCUGGAGAAGUAGCUGAGAGCUACAUCCUGAUCUGCAGGCAAAGAGAAAGACAGAGAGAAAUGGGCCUAGCAUGGCCUUUUGAAACCUCAAAGCCCACCCUAGUGACACACUUCCUCCAACAAGGCCACACCUACUCCAACAAGGGCACACUUCCUAAUCCUUCUAAUCCCAUCAAAGAGCGCCACUCCCCGGUGACCAAGCAUUCAAAUAUAUGAGCCUAUGGGGACCAUUCUUAUUCAAACCACCACACCAACUGAACCAUCUCCUCUGCCCCAGUAUCAUGACUCCACAUGUAUCAUAAGGUGAAAGAUAGUCUGAAUCAGAUGACCAGGGGUCAGUGACCCUCUGUGCUUCCUUAUGAUCCCGAGCAAAUUAGUUUAAAUCCUUAUGGGCUGAAAUUUCUUUACUUGCAAAAUGAGCAUGCUAGAAAAGAUAUUUCUUAUUAUUUUUCCAGCUCUACAGUGUAUGAUUCAGAGUAAAUGCAAAUUAACACUGUGUGAGCAAGAUGAUCUGUUCACUUAAUCAGCAGCACUAAGAGCAUUCUCAGAGCUAAGCCCUGUAAUGGGGCUGUGGAUGUAAAAGAGGAACACUUGAUGCUGUUUUCAAGAGGCUAGCAAGGGCAAAGCAAGCCUGGCCAAUCAGCAAUGGCAAGGCCCUGUGCUUAGUGUGGGUGGACUUGAGACACGAGGGUCCAGAAAGGGGCGGGGCUAGCUCAGGGCUUGGGCAAAGCAGCAUGGCAGGUUGUAGUGGUGGUAUUUGCAACAGAUCCUCAAAGACUAGCAGAAGAUCAUUUAAGAAAGAAGGGUCAAGCUAUUAGGGGAAUAGCAUGAUAGAGACUCAAGGAUGGAAGUGUAUGCCUUGUGCUUGAUGUUAGGUCUAUCAAUAGUGGACAGUGAGGUUUGUUUAAGACUUGGUUGUGAUGAUCCUAGAAUGUUAUGCUAAAGGUUUUGACUUUAUCAGAAAGGCACCAGGGAAUCACGAAGAAUGAAUGAAGUGAUCAACUUUCUUCUAGAAAGUUCCUCCAGGUAGCACUGGUUCCUGCCCGGGUUGAGUUCCUGUCCUGACUUCCUUCAAGAUGAACAGUGAUGAGGAAUCAUAAGCCAAAUGAACCCUUUCCUCCCCAAGUUGCUUUGGUCAUGGUGUUCUGUGACAGAUAUAGAAACUUGAAGACAGAAAUUGGUACCAGGAUCGUGGGGGUAAUGCUGUGACAGACAUGACCAUGUUGUUUGGGGGAGGAUGGUAGAAGAACUUUGGAACUUUGGGGAAGAAAAGUCAUUCGGUGUUAAGAGCUCAGUGACCUGUCUGUAGGAGCCUGGAAAAUAAGAAUGUUGAGAGCAGUGCAGACGGUGGAGGCCUGACUUGGGAAGUAUCAGAGAGAAGCAAAGACUCUACUGGGCCAUUUGUAUGAAGCCUCUGAGGCAUCUGGUCAUCUGGGGCUGAAGAGUCAGCUGUGAUUAACAAGAGAGCAGAAACACUAAAGUAAAACAUUUGCUUUGUUGGGACAAUGGAUGCUGGGGCCGGAGAAUCAGCUGUGAUUAAGAAGAGACCAGCAUCAUUGAAGUGAAGUCUUCUGGGAUGAGUUUCCUCAGGGUCAGCACCUAGAAAUGGCCAAGAUUGUACCUCCUACUGGCAGCUGAACUUGGUAGUGUGAGAAUCACCCAGGUGGUACUGGUUUUGAAGGCAAGAAGGGACCAUGGAGAGCAACUGAGGCUUGGCACUGUGUAGCAGGGCUAGAGUCCCCGAAGAGAGCCCCCGAGAGGCUAGUGGUGAAAGUGCAGCCCAGUUGUAGCGGGAGAUCCCAGCAUUUUGGAGAUGCCAGCACCAUGGGAUGACCACCAAGAACGGCAGCAGGCCUGAGCCUGGGAGACAAGCUGUGGCGCUGUAGAGGACAGAGCCAGAGAUGUGACCCCGAGCCCUUUGGAAGAGUCCAGAAGAUCUCAAUCUGCAGAUGGGCAGUCGGGUUUCGGAUUCUUCCUGAGGGACACCUGAAGUCAGCAUGUACUCCUAAGCAGGACUGAGCCAAGGCCAAAUCCAGGGUUCCUACCUCCUUGCCCAGGGCCCUCAUCACCACGACAGAGAUGGUACCGAAUGGAGGUGCAGAAGAUGGAGAGAAGACUUCCUCAUGAUGCUCUCUACUACAUACGUGGAAACUCAAGACCUUAUCGGCUUGGAGCUACUUUACCAGAGUUUCAUUCCUGAGAAUGUUGGGUAAAGCUGUUGGAGAUUAAAUCAGCAGAUAUUGGCUCAGGACUUCAAGUUAACCUCACAUCUGGACAGACCACAUUGGCAAGUGUUGGAUAUGGGCAACAGGACCAGCAGAUAAUAAAUAAUGCAAUGAAAAAAAUACAUCCCAGUAAGCCCAAGUGAUGUGAAUGGAGAGUUCUUUGCAUGCAAUUUGUGUGUUGAGAUUUGAAAUACUGUGUCCAAACUGGGCAAAGAAUAAAGGACAAUAUUGACAUAACCAUCUUCUAAGGCCUCAAAGAAGCAAGAAGCUGGGUGACCUGAGCCCUAGUUGGGGCUUUGCUGUGGCCAUUUGACUAGAAAAGUAACUUCAACUCUGAUGGAUGAAGAGAGAAUUUGAGAGUGACCAAGGCAUAGAAUUCCUGAGCUUCACUCUGCAUCUGAGACUCAUCUCACAAUCACUGCAUCCUUCAAUUGACUUCAAAUCUUCACCCUGGAAUGAUGUUGCUGUCAAGUACGGGCACAUCACUUCCUGCCGUUCUCAAAAGGCCUUUAUCAAUGUGUCCUGAUUUGGGAGUCAAGAUCAAGACUUCAUCAGAAAUAAACACUCAAACGUGCCUGUAACAGAUCCACAACACUCCAGAGACUGAAGUCUCUCUGUGUGGGAAACAGAAGAGAGCAGAUUAAGCAAAUGGAAAUUUAUUGAAGAUGUUCCACCUGGGUCUUAAGAGGCUGAAGACUUCCACAAACAUCAGGAGGCAUCAGUAAGAAGGUCUCAUCUUCAGUUGGUUCUCCCCUAGGAGAACCAUGUUUCCUAGGAGGUCCAGAUGCCAAAGAUUUCCUUUACUCUUGUGAGACAGGGUCCAACGUGGUCCAUUCUGGCCUUAAAUUUGUUAUGUAGUAGAGACCAGUCUUGUGCUCCCUCCCAUGCACAGAGACAACAGGCAUGAACCACCACACACUGUGUGACAUUUUUCUGAUUGGAUUGUAAGAACAUGUGAAAGAGAACCCAUUCUUUUAUGUGGAAUCCAAGGGACCAUCUUGUGCAUAGGUGGAUUUGCCCAGAGGGAAGUUCAUUUGGCAUCAACUUUCUUUAGAGGUUUUGCUUAAAUAUUCACUUUCCUGGAUGAGAGUUGUUCUUUGGUGCCUCAGGAGGAAAGGGUAUGUUGUAGGCUCUCCUGGCAUCUCCCAACCCUCAGCAUGUUUCUAGAAUGACAGCUGCCCUUGAUUGCAGUCUUUUGGUCUCCUGUAACCAUUGCUUACCUUGGAAGGGGUUCAAGGCACUGGUGUCCAUUUCUCCAACGACCUUCAUAUGUUUUAGAACCAAAGUGGAAAAAUUACCUGGGAAAUACUGAAGUAAAUCCAUAUGGUUAUCUUCCCUUUCAUAUUUGAAAGAUAGAUUUGAAAGGGGAAGGCUCAUUUUGUUCUUUUUUUUCUCCUAUCAACAUAAAUUCUGCUCAAAUA